rnacentral:rRNA from 1 species
UACGGAGGGUGCGAGCGUUGUCCGGAAUCACUGGGCGUAAAGGGCGCGUAGGCGGCAGGCCAAGCGUGCGGUGAAAGUCCGGGGCUCAACCCCGGAUCUGCCGUGCGGACUGGUUUGCUGGAGCACUGUAGAGGCGAGUGGAAUUCCGGGUGUAGCGGUGGAAUGCGUAGAGAUCCGGAAGAACACCGGUGGCGAAGGCGGCUCGCUGGGCCGAUACUGACGCUCAGGCACGAAAGCGUGGGGAGCAAACAGG